rnacentral:rRNA from 1 species
UACGAAGGGGGCGAGCGUUGUUCGGAAUUACUGGGCGUAAAGGGCGCGUAGGCGGCCCCUUUUGUCGCGUGUGAAAGCCCCGGGCUCAACCUGGGAGGUGCGCGCGAAACGGGGGGGCUUGAGUUCGGGAGAGGAGCGUGGAAUUCCCAGUGUAGAGGUGAAAUUCGUAGAUAUCGGGAGGAACACCUGUGGCGAAGGCGGCCCCCUGGUUGGAUACUGACGCUGAUACGCGAAAGCGUGGGGAGCAAACAGG